rnacentral:rRNA from 1 species
AUGGUCCUUGUCUGGUACGGGGUCACCUUUCUCAUCAAACACCUACCAACCCCUAAUGCCGACGCCCGGCACCUUGAGCUGGAUGCUCACGUCGCGCUCUGGAUCUACGCCACUCUCGCGGAUCCCCUCGUCGACCAUAUCGUCGGCGCCAUCCGGAACAAAAUCAAAGACUUCUUCCUUGCAAAUCGGGUUGCUCGUUUCAUGAUCCUUAAUCGCCAGUACCGCAAUCUCAAGCAGGGCGAUCUCUCUGUCACUGAGUACACUCGUCGCAUGAAGCUCCUCACCGACGGCCUCGCCGACAUCGACCAUGCCGUCACCGAGGUGGACCUCACCACCCAGUCUCUCCACGGCCUGGACAAGCGCCUCGACACAAUCCGUGUCGUCCUUGGUGACCAGGGCAUGGCCUUAGACACCAUGCUCUCAUGUGUCGUCCUGGCCGAAUAA